UUCCAGCUCCAAUAGCGUAUAUUAAAGUUGUUGCAGUUAAAAAGCUCGUAGUUGAAUUUCGGGGUUAGUAGGCUGGUCAUGCCUCCGGUAUGUACUGGUCUCACUGAUUCCUCCUUCCUGAUGAACCGUAAUGCCAUUAAUUUGGUGUUGCGGGGAAUCUGGACUGUUACUUUGAAAAAAUUAGAGUGUUUAAAGCAGGCUAACGCUUGAAUACAUUAGCAUGGAAUAAUGAAAUAGGACGUUCGAUCCUAUUUUGUUGGUUUCUAGGAUUGACGUAAUGAUUAAUAGGGAUAGUUGGGGGCAUUAGUAUUCAAUUGUCAGAGGUGAAAUUCUUGGAUUUAUUGAAGACUAACUACUGCGAAAGCAUUUGCCAAGGAUGUUUUCAUUAAUCAAGAACGAAAGUUAGGGGAUCGGAGACGAUCAGAUACCGUCGUAGUCUUAACCAUAAACUAUGCCGACUAGGGAUCGG
rnacentral:rRNA from 1 species